CAGCCGCCACGGGAAUACGUAGGUGGCAAGCGUUGUCCGGAAUUAUUGGGCGUAAAGGGCUCGCAGGCGGUUUCUUAAGUCUGAUGUGAAAGCCCCCGGCUCAACCGGGGAGGGUCAUUGGAAACUGGAAAACUUGAGUGCAGAAGAGGAGAGUGGAAUUCCACGUGUAGCGGUGAAAUGCGUAGAGAUGUGGAGGAACACCAGUGGCGAAGGCGACUCUCUGGUCUGUAACUGACGCUGAGGAGCGAAAGCGUGGGGAGCGAACAGGAUUAGAGACCCCUGUAGUCCCUGUCUCUUAUAC
rnacentral:rRNA from 1 species